GCUUUAAUAAUUUAAAUAAAAUAUUGAUUUUGUAAAUCAAAAAUAAGUAAUUUCUUUUAUAGCU
rnacentral:tRNA from 1 species